rfam:Streptomyces sp. NRRL WC-3605 P232contig9.1, whole genome shotgun sequence.
CGAGCCGGGCGGGCGGCCGCGUGGAGUCCCUCAGGGGGCUUCCCGAGGAACGUCCGGGCUCCACAGGGCAGGGUGGUGGCUAACGGCCACCCGGGGUGACCCGCGGGACAGUGCCACAGAAAGCAGACCGCCCGGCACUCAGGUGCCGGGUAAGGGUGAAACGGUGGUGUAAGAGACCACCAGUGCCUGGGGUGACUCAGGCAGCUAGGUAAACCCCACCCGGAGCAAGGUCAAGAGGAGCGCUGUAAAAGGCGCUCUGCGCGGACGAUCGAGGGCUGCCCGCCCGAGUCCGCGGGUAGACCGCACGAGGCCGGUGGCAACACCGGCCCUAGAUGGAUGGCCGUCGCCGACGGGCCCGCGAGGACCCGUCGGAACAGAACCCGGCGUACAGCCCGACUCGUCUG